rnacentral:rRNA from 1 species
GACGAACGCUGGCGGCGCGCUUAACACACGCAAGUCGAACGAGAAACCCGGGCUUGCCCGGGUGGACAGUGGCGAACGGGUGCGUAACACGUGAGCAACCUGCCCCGAAGACCGGGAUAACACCGGGAAACCGGUGCUAAUACCGGAUGCCCUCACCACCUCGCAUGGGGAGGUGAGGGAAUGGAUUCCGCUUCGGGAUGGGCUCGCGGCCUAUCAGCUUGUUGGUGGGGUAACGGCCCACCAAGGCGACGACGGGUAGCUGGUCUGAGAGGAUGUCCAGCCACACUGGGACUGAGACACGGCCCAGACUCCUACGGGAGGCAGCAGUGGGGAAUCUUGCGCAAUGGGCGAAAGCCUGACGCAGCGACGCCGCGUGCGGGAUGACGGCCUUCGGGUUGUAAACCGCUUUCAGCAGGGACGAUUGUGACGGUACCUGCAGAAGAAGCCCCGGCCAACUACGUGCCAGCAGCCGCCGUAACAC